CAGGCUUCAGUCAUUUCCUGGGAUGAGGGAGGCUGACAGGGGCAAGGAGACAAUCCAUGGGCAAGUUUCAACACUUGGCCAGUGUUCACAGACAAGUUAUAUAGCCACCCCCUGAAGACAGGAAUUAUAGUUGGAAUGUUUACCAGUGUAAUGGGGAUUCUGGGGAUCCUUGCUGCAAGAAGAGGUUCCAAAAUUUUCUUGGUAAGGGAACACACCACAAAGCCUUCUUCCCACCCCCCCCAAGAUUGGAAAAUAUCUUCUUUCCCUAUUGGUCCCUUUGGUCAGGUGCCAACCAGGUUAUUUGAGCUUCUUAACCCCUUACAGCUGCUCCAUGAAACAUUCACCACUCUCCCGGAAAGGCUGCUUUUGCUUCCUGCUGAUAAUGCAUAGCAUGUGCUUCAAGCUGGAAGAGCACUGUAUAAACAUUACUCAUCCUCACUACAUCUGCAGUUUGCAAGAGGGGAAUCUGAAACUCAGUGUCUGGGUGACUUGCUCAAGGCUACACAGGAGCUCCUGGCUACCGUUACCUACCCUACAUAUCUACAGAGACUUCAUAGCACUAGACAGAUAAUAUAUACUGUAGGUCUUCCAAACCUGUGUUCCCAGUGCAAUGAUGAUUGGAAUGACCUAUGGUGGAUGCUCUGGAGUUGUUCUGAACAUCUCAAGACCUUUUUCUUCUCCGAAAUGGCCCUAGGUGUGUUGACAUCCUGAGCAAAGAAGAAAUUGGGUGUCCUUGUCACCCCUAAAUACAUCCCAGAAUCCUUUUCAUCAUUUACAGAAGUGAUCUCAAUAAUGGCUUUAGGGACUCUUCUUAGCUCUGCCCGCUUCUUGCCUGGAACUGCGUUACCAUGAUAGCUCCAGCAGUAACCCUAACCCUGACAUUCCCUUAGAUGUGAUGUUCUGCAUAGUCACCCGUAUCCUUGAACCCAAAGCCAGCACUCUAAUUUCAAGAAGGAAUGGAUCUCGAUCAUGUGUUUCUUGAUGAUCCUCAUGACACCUGAACUACCUUUUGUAGAGGGUGGCCUAGAUGACCACAUAGAGGCAUCUAAGCAUUCAUUGGAAGUUACUUUUCAAGGGAAAUAAUUUUAUUCUUGUAGCUUUAAUUUGCUUUGGUAUUGUUUGGCUCAAGUCUUGCUGCCCAUGCUGUCAGUUUCCUGAUAAAUUGAAUAAUGUUCUUAGCAUAUGGAGCCCUUUUUCUUCAUAUUGUAUCCAUUACCAGGCUUUGCUGUCUUGUUUUCUGUGUUGCCUUGAUUCAGGAAAACACGUAAACACUUUAAGCAUGUGCUUGAACACCUUUUCUGAAUAGGAAAGCUUUUGCAAUAGGGCCUGUGUCUGCAACAUUUGCUCGGCCAUGCCAUACUAUUUUAUUCUCCUACUCCAUCGCAAGCCUGUGCUACAUGAUUCCAUGUUUAGGGCUUAAUCCUGUAGAGUGCGGAGUGCUCUCCACAGCUCAGCUGGGCCCGAGCCAGGGAAGGAGGCAGAUGUCUCAAGCCCUCUGCAGAGGACGUGAGGCCAACUGAGCUGAGCCAAUGGACGGCAGUAGGAAGUAGCCCAGGAGAACCAGAUAUUAGUCUGGUUGUGCUGCCAGGAAGCGAGUCAGUGUGAUUUGGCGGGAUCCCUGCUGAUCCAGUGGUGGAACCACCCACCACUGCUAGGGCCCUAAGCUGGGACCCACUGGAGUAGGGUGGACCUGGGACCCCCUAAACCCCUGCUGCCAACCCAACAGCUGGCAUUUGGCCACAUGCUUAUCUUAAACCUUUAGGCCUGAAAUCUCUUCUUGCUGUCUGUCCUAACCAGGAGGCUUUGGGCUAAAGACUGUUCCUUGCUCUGCCCUGCCCAGAGGGUCAGAACACUAGACUGCUAACUACUGUCUGCCCCAGCCAGAAGACUAUGGCUAUAGACUGUGUGCUGCUCUGCCCUGCCCAGAGGACCAGAGCCAUAGACUGCUAACUGACUGCUGUUUGUUGCCUGACGCAGUGAGUCAGAGUGGCCUCCUUCCAAGCCUGAGAUGGAGGGACCACUACAGCUUCCUAUGCUAGAAAACAGUAAAGAGAUGCACAGUAUAUAAAAGAAAUGGAAGCUAGAAUGGUCACAAUGUUAUUGGAAAUAAAAAAUGCUCUCGGCCUAGA